CGUAACAAGGUUUCCGUAGGUGAACCUGCGGAAGGAUCAUUGUCGAGACCCGAAAAAAC
rnacentral:rRNA from 1 species